GGGCAUCCCCAGGAAGGGGCGGGAGGAGCUGUGUGUGCAUUCCAAGGGCUGCACUGCCACCUCCAGAUGAAAGACCGCACGAUGUCUCUUUCCGUAUGAAUUUCUCAUUGCAGAAUGAAGGCGCAUCGAUGUGAGAAACCGGGCGUUUCUAUGAGAUGACGGCAUUGUUUUUUUUCUGCCCUGCCAGAACAGUGCUGUCCUCCUCCUGCAUGGCCAUCUCCUCGCCUAUGAGCCUCGCAUUGCUGCGGGGCAGCUGCGUGCGGGGUUGCGUUGGCCCCGCGCACCGGGAGGUGGCACUGCAGCCGCAGCUUUGCGUGCCUUUGCACAGGUAAAGUGUGUUUUACUGGGAAAACAGUGGGAAGGAGCAAAACGUGGGAGCGUGGAGCAAGGAGGGUUUCCCUGGCACUUGUUUUCCACCUUUGUGAUGCCCUGGGAAAAGUUCUAAGCAAGCAUUUUCCUCCCCAAGUUCUACUCUGCAAAGUGUGCUCCUCAAGCAAAGCACAGAGAGAAGGGAUCAAUCUAGUGCUCAUAGGACUCCGCUCAUCACUUUCAGCUCUUGCAUAGCCCUUUUAUGCAGAUGGGAAUGGCUUUCUGCAAGAGCAACGGCCAAAGACCAUUGUUGGAGGGUGGCAUCCACCCAAAAAGAAAGGAAACCUGGGCUCACUGCUAGAGCAGACGUGGGAAAAUCAACACCUUGGCAACAUGAGCACACUGCAGAUCUGGAAACAGCACUAAACCUGUCCUGGCUGCACAUGGGAAAAGGUGAGAACAUUCAGCUGAGUUACAAUCUAUUAUUCAAGAUAACUUGGAAAGCUUUACAAUUUUCUUUUCAGUGAAUUCGCUUCUGUAUAUAGCACUAGAGUGGUUAAUUUUCUAUGAAAACCCAGAAAGCUGCCUUCAAAAGAUAAUAAAGCUUGAUCAGU
rnacentral:lncRNA from 7 species